rnacentral:rRNA from 1 species
ACGGGAGGCAGCAGUGGGGGAUCUUGCGCCAAUGCGCGAAAGCGUGACGCAGCGACGCCGCGUGGGGGAUGAAGGCCCUCGGGUUGUAAACCCCUUUCGGCAGGGACGAAGCGAAAGUGACGGUACCUGCAGAAGAAGUCCCGGCUAACUACGUGCCAGCAGCCGCGGUAACACGUAGGGGACGAGCGUUGUCCGGAUUUAUUGGGCGUAAAGCGCGCGUAGGCGGCUCGGAAAGUCGGUCGUGAAAGGCUGGGGCUCAACCCCAGGACUGCGUCCGAUACUUCCGAGCUGGAGGCAGGUAGGGGAGAUCGGAAUUCCUGGUGUAGCGGUGAAAUGCGCAGAUAUCAGGAGGAACACCGGUGGCGAAGGCGGAUCUCUGGGCCUUGCCUGACGCUGAGGCGCGAAAGCUAGGGGAGCGAACAGGAUUAGAUACCCUGGUA